rnacentral:rRNA from 1 species
CAGUCGCCGCGGGAAUACAGAGGGUGCGAGCGUUAAUCGGAUUUACUGGGCGUAAAGCGUGCGUAGGCGGCUUUUUAAGUCGGAUGUGAAAUCCCUGAGCUUAACUUAGGAAUUGCAUUCGAUACUGGGAAGCUAGAGUAUGGGAGAGGAUGGUAGAAUUCCAGGUGUAGCGGUGAAAUGCGUAGAGAUCUGGAGGAAUACCGAUGGCGAAGGCAGCCAUCUGGCCUAACACUGACGCUGAGGUACGAAAGCAUGGGGAGCAAACAGGAUUAGAUACCCCCGUAGUCCCUGUCUCUUAUAA